GCCGGUGUGGCUCAGCAUUUAGAGCAUCUGCCCUCACAAGGUAGGGUCUCAGGUUCAAUUCCUGGUCAAGGGUA
rfam:Myotis davidii contig139897, whole genome shotgun sequence.